rnacentral:lncRNA from 1 species
GCGCUCCUCGAGGGGCAGGAGGUCCCCGCGGGGCAGCGCGGGGUCGCAGGAGGCGCUGGGGGCGGCCACGUAGAGCGGGACCCCGUGGUGCCGCGCCGCCAGCGCCAGCGCGUACGUCCCGAUCUUGUUGGCCGUGUCCCCGUUGGCGGCCACGCGGUCGGCGCCCACCACCACGGCUGGGGGGGGGACACGGGGAGGGGGGGGGGUGAGACCCCCGACCCGGGCUCGGCCGGGCCCACGAACCCCGGCCCCGGGGCCCCGUAACAGCCCCGGCCCUCCCGCCCCGCCGUGUCCCAGCCGCCACGGCCCCGUCCCACGGCCCCGUCCCCAUCAUCCCAUGUCCCCAUUCCCAUCCCAUGUCCCCAUCCCAUGUCCCUGUCCCCAUCCCCUUGUCCCCAUCCCCAUCCCACAUCCCCAUUCCCUUGUCCCUAUCCCAUGGCCCUGUCCCCAUGUCCCCAUCCCACAUCCCUGUCCCCACCCCACGUCCCCAUUCCCUUGUCCCUAUCCCACGCCUCCAUGUCCCUGUCCCCAUGCCAUGCCCGUCCCCAUCCCAUGUCCCUGUACCCAUGUCCCCGUCCCCAUCCCCUUGUCCCUAUCCCACAUCCCCAUGCCCCUGUCCCCAGCCCACGGCCCCAUCCCCAUGUCCCCAUCCCAUGCCCGGCCCCAUCCCAGAUCCCUGUCCCCGUCCCCAUCCCCCUGUCCCCAUCCCUGUUCCCCUGUCCUCGUCAUCCCACAUCCCUGU